CUAUACCUAAAAUUAAGGUAAGAGAAUUAGAAAAAUAAUAAUAAAUGGUGAUGACUUCUCUCUCUUUUAUGAAUGCUUAUUUUCGCUUGUGGUGUUGACUACUCUGAAAGCCCUGCAGGCAUACUAGAGGUGGUUUUAUAUAUGUAUACUGGUACCGCCGGUGGAGGUUGUGGGGCUAGGGCUGGGGGUAGAGGUGGAGCUGCCAACGCCCAACAGCAUUUUUCUUUUAUAUAAUGAAAACAGCAUGGUUUCUUUGUAACAUAAUGCAACAUGUCCCUUGCCUAUUUUCAGAAUGAUUUCGUCAGCUUCAUGUAAAAAGUAUAUUGUUAUUUGUAAAAUAAAUAAGGGUAAAUUACACUAACAGUCACUCGAUUUUGAUGUAGCUGACAAAACAGUCACCUUGAUUUUAUUUUUGUCACUUAACUUUGAAAAAGUGACAAAACAAUCCUUUUUUCCGUUUUCUGUCAUUGACGUUACAUCAAAGUGACAUGGCAGAUGACGACGUGCUUGGUGUCAAAAAAACCUCUAGCUAGCCGGUUACCACCAAUUUAACAACCCUAUUAGAACCAAUUUAGGGUUAAGAAGAGAAAAAGAAGAAAAAAAAAGGAGGAGAAGAGGAGAAGAAGAAGAAGAAGAACGAGGAGAAGAGAAAAUGGAGAUGCCUCAUGUUUUCAAAUCAAUCCUUUACUCAGGCAUGGCUGUUGCAGCUUCAAACCAGGAUGCUGUUGCUUUGGGGGUCACAUUAACACAAGGGGAAGGUAAUUUACCCAGGCUUUUCCUCACUUAUGAGCAUGGAAGCUAGGAUUUAUGUAUUUGGUGGUUGCAUUACAUCUUGGAAAAACAUGGUGUUUCAAUAAUGGAAGGUUAUAGAGAAAGAGAGUCAAGAAGAAGAAGAGCAAAGACAUGGUGUUUCAAUGGCAAAGAAUCAGACCCCGCCAAAUUAGGCAAAGAAGACUUUUUUUUUUUUUUUGCAGUCUCUUCUUCUUCUUCUUCUCCUUGUUUUUAAGGAGGGUUUUUUAGAGUGUUUUUUUCAAUUUCUUUUUAAAUUGGAUGGGUUUCCACUGUGGACAUCUCACGUGGCAAGUUAACUGGCCACUUUAGCAGUUAACUUUCCACAUCAGCGGUCCCGUUAAGACACCAACGGAAACUGUUAAUCAGUGACGAUUUUGUCACUUUUUUAUAACAUUAGUGACUGUUUUGUUAUUUUUCAAAAGUUGAGUGACUAAAAUGAAACCUAGGUGACUAUUUUGUUAGCUACCUCAAAGUUGAGUGACUGUUGAUGUAAUUUACCCAAUAAAUAAAUGUUAUAUGUUUAAAAGAUCCAGCAUAAAA